rnacentral:rRNA from 1 species
AGCGAACGCUGGCGGCAGGCCUAACACAUGCAAGUCGAGCGGACGUAGGAAUACGUCAGCGGCAGACGGGAGAGUAACACGUGGGAACGCGCCCUUCGGUUCGGGAUAACUCAGGGAAACUUGGGCUAAUACCGGAUACGCCCUUACGGGGAAAGAUUUAUUGCCGAAGGAACGGCCCGCGUCCGAUUAGCUUGUUGGUGAGGUAACGGCUCACCAAGGCGACGAUCGGUAGCUGGUCUGAGAGGAUGACCAGCCUCACUGGGACUGAGACACGGCCCAGACUCCUACGGGAGGCAGCAGUGGGGAAUAUUGGACAAUGGGCGGAAGCCUGAUCCAGCAACGCCGCGUGAGGGAUGACGGCCUUCGGGUUGUAAACCUCUUUCAGCACCGACGAAGCGAUCCUUUGGGGAGUGACGGUAGGUGCAGAAGAAGGACCGGCCAACUACGUGCCAGCAGCCGCCGUAACAC